UACGUAGGGGGCAAGCGUUGUCCGGAAUCAUUGGGCGUAAAGAGCGUGUAGGCGGCCCGGUAAGUCCGCUGUGAAAGUCCAGGGCUCAACCCUGGGAUGCCGGUGGAUACUGUCGGGCUCGAGUCCGGAAGAGGAGUGUGGAAUUCCUGGUGUAGCGGUGAAAUGCGCAGAUAUCAGGAGGAACACCAGCGGCGAAGGCGGCGCUCUGGGCCGGAACUGACGCUGAGGAGCGAAAGCGUGGGUAGCAAACAGG
rnacentral:rRNA from 1 species